rnacentral:rRNA from 1 species
AACGCGAAGAACCUUACCUACUCUUGACAUCCAGAGAAUUUGGCAGAGAUGCCUUAGUGCCUUCGGGAGCUCUGAGACAGGUGCUGCAUGGCUGUCGUCAGCUCGUGUUGUGAAAUGUUGGGUUAAGUCCCGCAACGAGCGCAACCCUUAUCCUCUGUUGCCAGCACGUUAUGGUGGGAACUCAGGGGAGACUGCCGGUGAUAAACCGGAGGAAGGUGGGGAUGACGUCAAGUCAUCAUGGCCCUUACGAGUAGGGCUACACACGUGCUACAAUGGCGCAUACAAAGAGAAGCGACCUCGCGAGAGCAAGCGGACCUCAUAAAGUGCGUCGNAGUCCGGAUUGGAGUCUGCAACUCGACUCCAUGAAGUCGGAAUCGCUAGUAAUCGUAGAUCAGAAUGCUACGGUGAAUACGUUCCCGGG